AACUAACGCUGGCGGCGUGCCUAACACAUGCAAGUCGUACGAGAAAGCCGGCUUCGGCUGGUGAGUAAAGUGGCGCACGGGUGAGUAACGCGUGGAUAAUCUGCCCUUAAGUGUGGAAUAACGUACCGAAAGGUGCGCUAAUACCGCAUAAUGCCUGGCAACACAAGUUGUCCGGCCAAAGAAGGCCUCUGUUUACAAGCUUUCGCUUCAGGAUGAGUCCGCGUACCAUUAGCUUGUGUGGGUAAUGGCCUACCAAGGCUGCGAUGGUUAGCUGGUCUGAGAGGAUGAUCAGCCACACUGGAACUGAGACACGGUCCAGACUCCUACGGGAGGCAGCAGUGAGGAAUAUUGCGCAAUGGGGCAACCCUGACGCAGCAACGCCGCGUGAGUGAGGAAGGUUUUCGGACUGUAAAGCUCUGUCGAGCGGAAGAAGUGUACCAUGGCUAAUAUCCAUGAUAUUUGACGGUACCGCUAGAGG
rnacentral:rRNA from 1 species